CCCUUAGAUGUUCUGGGCGGCCCGCGCACUACAAUGGCGUUUGCAGCGAGUGCCGAAGUAGAGUUUUCCGAGGUAUUCUUGCAAUGCUCGUUUUGAUGGGGAUAGACCCUUGCAACUGUUGGUUUUGAACGAGGAAUUCCUUGUAAGCAUGGUUUAUCAUCCGACGCUGAAUGCGUCCCUGCCCUUUGUACACACCGCCCGUCGCUCCUACCGAUGAGUCGUCCGGUGAAGUUCGUAGACCUCGUGAUCGCGGAUCACUGGGGGAAGCAAAAUGAACCUCGCGGUUUAGAGGAAGGAGAAGUCGUAACA
rnacentral:rRNA from 1 species